CAGGAGCGAACAAAAUAUCGCGUGACUGUCGUGUCAAGCGAUUACAGAAACAGACUGACUUUAUUCACCCUCGAAUCCAAAUGUAUACAGAAUAAAUUGUUUUAUUCGCGAGAAAGUAUCAAUCAACCCCAGUCACUACAAUGCACUCAUUCCAAGUAUUGAUUCAUCGCCUACGGCGGUUCUGAUGCCAGGAAGUUCCAAAUUAAAUAAAAGAUUACUAUCGAGGAUUAUUUAACCAGUUGUGAAAUUUGGCACAGAUAAAGGAUUAAAUUAUUUUUGGUUUGUUUAUUAAGAAAAUAUGAUUAUUUUGUAUAGUAGCAAUGCAAUCAAAGUAAAUUGCAACUUUGAACUUGAAGAUUUUAAUUA